GACGAACGCUGGCGGCGUGCUUAACACAUGCAAGUCGAACGGAAAGGCCCCUUAGGGGGUACUCGAGUGGCGAACGGGUGAGUAACACGUUAGUAACCUGCCCUUGACUUCGUGAUAACUUCAGGAAACUGGGGCUAAUACCGUAAAGGAAUCUUUGCUGCAUGGUGGGGGUUGGAAAGCUUCGGCGGGUUUGGAUGGACUCGAGGCUUAUCAGCUUGUUGGGGGGGUAGUGGCUUACCAAGGCUUUGACGGGUAGCCGGCCUGGGAGGGCGAACGGGCACAUUGGGACUGAGAUACGGCGCAGACGGCAACGGGAGGCAGCAGUGGGGAAUAUUGCACAAUGGGCGGAAGUGAGAGGCAGCAACGCCGCGGGCGGGAUGACGUCCUUCGCGUGGUGAACCGCUUUCAGCAGGGGAGAAGCAUGUGGUGACGGUACCGGAAGAAGAAGCAACGGCUAACUACGUG
rnacentral:rRNA from 1 species